rnacentral:tRNA from 1 species
GGGCCUAUAGUAAAGUGGCAUUACGGCGCAUUCGCAUUGCGCAGGCGGGAGUUCGAUUCUCCCUAGGUCCACUA